ensembl:lncRNA
UUGUGUGUGUGUGUGUGUGUGGUGGGGGGGGGCAGAGGGAGUGUUCGCCCAGGGCGCCAAAAAGGCUAGGACCGCCACUGCUCUCAGUUACAUUUUGAUCCCAUGUAAAUGAAUUGCCUCAGUUAUUCUUCUGAAGUCUAGGCCUUGUAUAGAAGCCUUGUAUUUCUUUCAUGCAGCUAUCACUAAAUUGGUAGAGAUCCCAUUUCAAAUAAUAAAACAAUAACUGCUCAUUUGCAUCAUAAACAAGUCAUAUGGAUUGAUCACUGUAUUCUUUCCCUAAAUUAAAGAACAUCAUGUGUAUGUAAUGUGUCUUACAUAGGUACACAGGAAACGAAGCAUAACACGGAAAACGGAAAGUCUCGUCACAUGGGUUUUAUCAUCUGACGCAGUAAGCAUCACGCUUAUAUACACUGCCUGCACAAGUGGCCCCACCCCCCAAGAGGUGUUUUGCAACAUUAAUUUCACUUUCCAGAAUGCCAAUGGGUUGGUAUACUUUAUUAAUCCACUGUAGGGAAAUUACUCUCUGAAUUUAACCCAUUCACUCAGUGAAGCAGUGGGCAGCCACCAAUCCAGCACACGGGGAGCACUGCGUAGGGAUGGUACUUUGCUCAGGGUACCUCAUGGUAGCCAUUUGGUGGAUUUGAACCCCCGAUCAUGGGGCGAAUGGUCAACCUACUGAGCUAUUUUUUUUAUUUUUCAUUUGCAAUUUUGUUUUAAUUAUAAUUAUUUUUUAGAGUGGGUUUGCGCAUUUCAUUUCAACAUUACUUCUAGAUUUUUAAUGUGGGUGGUGUCUGUUAUGAACAAGAUUGUAAAAGUUUCGAACUAACUCAAUACAAACACAGCAGUUCAUGUCAGAAAGCCACUCCAGUCACAAAAAUGUAUUCACCAGACUGAGAUUACCAAAUGGUAAAUGGACUGGUUCUUAUAUAGCAUUUUUUUUACUCUAUCUGAACACUCAUUCACACAAACACUUUUUUCUAUGCUCUUUCAUGCUACUACUACUAAUUCAUCACAUACCACAAAUGUCAAGCAUACGAAACAGAAGGCUUUAAAGUCAGGGUACCUUUAUUUAAAGUCACAAUAAACAUUGUACUUUUGAACUACACAGCGAGUACAUAGUAAUUCAUUAAUGUUGUACAAUUUUCAGUGUUGACUCUGUGUGUCAGCAAAAUAGAUUUGAAAUAAAACUAUUUAUACUGUGCACACUCUCAGCUUACAUUUAAGGGGGCUGUUGAGAAAGUUUAGCCUAUAUAUUGUGAAAUGAAAUACCAAUUUAAUUCAGAAGCUGUGUAUGUGAGCCAUUUCUUC